rnacentral:rRNA from 1 species
GCUUUGCGCGCUACCAUGCAGUCGAGCGGUAACAGAGAGGUGCUUGCACCUUUGCUGACGAGCGGCGGACGGGUGAGUAAUGCUUGGGAACAUGCCUUGAGGUGGGGGACAACAGUUGGAAACGACUGCUAAUACCGCAUAAUGUCUACGGACCAAAGGGGGCUUCGGCUCUCGCCUUUAUAUUGGCCCAAGUGGGAUUAGCUAGUUGGUGAGGUAAUGGCUCACCAAGGCGACGAUCCCUAUCUGGUUUGAGAGGAUGAUCACCCACACUGGGACUGACACACGGCCCACACUCCUACGGGAGGCAGCAGUGGGGAAUAUUGCACAAUGGGCGCAAGCCUGAUGCACCCAUGCCGCGUGUGUGAAGAAGGCCUUCGGGUUGUAAAGCACUUUCAGUCAGGAGGAAAGGUUAGUCGUUAAUACCGGCUAGCUGUGACGUUACUGACAGAAGAAGCACCGGCUAACUCCGUGCCAGCAGCCGCGGUAAUACGGAGGGUGCGAGCGUUAAUCGGAAUUACUGGGCGUAAAGCGUACGCAGGCGGUUUGUUAAGCGAGAUGUGAAAGCCCCGGGCUCAACCUGGGAACUGCAUUUCGAACUGGCAAACUAGAGUGUGAUAGAGGGUGGUAGAAUUUCAGGUGUAGCGGUGAAAUGCGUAGAGAUCUGAAAGAAUACCGAUGGCGAAGGCAGCCACCUGGGUCAACACUGACGCUCAUGUACGAAAGCGUGGAGAGCAAACAGGAUUAUAUACCCUGGUACUCCACGCCGUACACGAUGUCUACUAAAAGCUCGGUUCCUCGGAACUGUUUUUCAAAGCUAACGCAUUAAGUACACCGCCUGGAGAGUACGGCCGCAAGGUUAAAACUCAAUGAAUUGACGGGGGCCCGCACAAGCGGUGGAGCAUGUGGUUUUAUUUCGAUGCAACGCGAAGAAUCUUACCUACACUUGACAUACAGAGAAUUUACCAGAGAUGGUUUUGG